AAUGGGGGCAACCCUGAUCUAGCCAUGCCGCGUGAGUGAUGAAGGCCUUAGGGUCGUAAAGCUCUUUCGCCUGUGAUGAUAAUGACAGUAGCAGGUAAAGAAACCCCGGCUAACUCCGUGCCAGCAGCCGCGGUAAUACGGAGGGGGUUAGCGUUGUUCGGAAUUACUGGGCGUAAAGCGCGCGUAGGCGGACUAGAAAGUUGGGGGUGAAAUCCCGGGGCUCAACCUCGGAACUGCCUCCAAAACUGCUAGUCUAGAGUUCGAGAGAGGUGAGUGGAAUUCCGAGUGUAGAGGUGAAAUUCGUAGAUAUUCGGAGGAACACCAGUGGCGAAGGCGGCUCACUGGCUCGAUACUGACGCUGAGGUGCGAAAGUGUGGGGAGCAAACAGGAUU
rnacentral:rRNA from 1 species